rnacentral:rRNA from 1 species
CCUACGGGGGGCAGCAGUGGGGAAUAUUGGACAAUGGGCGAAAGCCUGAUCCAGCCAUGCCGCGUGUGUGAAGAAGGCCUUCGGGUUGUAAAGCACUUUCAGUGGGGAAGAAAGCCUUGGGGCUAAUACCCUCGAGGAAGGACAUCACCCACAGAAGAAGCCCCGGCUAACUCCGUGCCAGCAGCCGCGGUAAUACGGAGGGUGCGAGCGUUAAUCGGAAUUACUGGGCGUAAAGCGCGCGUAGGCGGUCUGAUAAGCCGGUUGUGAAAGCCCCGGGCUCAACCUGGGAACGGCAUCCGGAACUGUCAGGCUAGAGUGCAGGAGAGGAAGGUAGAAUUCCCGGUGUAGCGGUGAAAUGCGUAGAGAUCGGGAGGAAUACCAGUGGCGAAGGCGGCCUUCUGGACUGACACUGACGCUGAGGUGCGAAAGCGUGGGUAGCAAACAGGAUUAGAUACCCGAGUAGUC